ensembl:lncRNA
UGUGAGUGAGCAUAAUAUAAUUUAGAUGAAUCAGAAAAGACUUCCUUAAGAAUAGGAAGUGGGUUGAGAUCUGCACAAAGGUAAGAUUUAGCUAGGCAAAGACAUGCAACAACGGGAGCAGCAUGCAGCCAGUGGACCAUCUGACUUCAAGGACAUACCUGAAAAACAGACUGGAGUAGCUGGGAUGAGAGAGCGAAAGGAAAGGCAAUAGGAGAUAAGACUAAGAAACAUGAAGGAUCAUGAGAGACUACUACAAGCAACUAUACAGUAAUAAAAAGGACAACCUGGAAGAAAUGGACAAAUUCUUAGAAAGCAGCCACCUGGUACCCUGUAAAUGGUAAAGUGUUAAAGACCAUCUGGAAACUUCAUGGCAGUCUACUCAAAGGGAUCAGUCCCUGGUGAAAGAAGAUAAAAACAUUGGUACUACAUUAAAAAAAAUUAAUGAUGCUUUGGGUAUCAAUUUACAAUACAAAAGAUGUCACAUUAAAAAUACUUCAGAAAAU